rnacentral:rRNA from 1 species
CCUACGGGAGGCAGCAGUGAGGAAUAUUGGUCAAUGGGCGGAAGCCUGAACCAGCCAAGUAGCGUGCGGGAUGAAGGCCCUACGGGUCGUAAACCGCUUUUGCACGGGGAUAACACCCUCCACUUGUGGAGGUCUGCAGGUACCGUGCGAAUAAGGGCCGGCUAAUUCCGUGCCAGCAGCCGCGGUAAUACGGAAGGCCCGAGCGUUAUCCGGAUUCAUUGGGCUUAAAGGGAGCGUAGGCGGGCGUUCAAGUCAGCUGUAAAAUCGCGCGGCUCAACCGCGCCCCGCAGUUGAAACUGGACGCAUUGAGUUCACAACAGGCAGGCGGAAGUCGGGGUGUAGCGGUGAAAUGCAUAGAUAUCACGAGGAACCCCGAUUGCGAAGGCAGCCUGCCGGGGUGCGACUGACGCUGAGGCUCGAAGGUGCGGGUAUCAAACAGGAUUAGAUACCCGAGUAGUC